GCCCCCGUCGUCUAGUCCGGUCAAGGAUAGCGGCCUUUCGAGCCGUUGACAUGGGUCCAAAUCGAGGAAAUCCCAUCGGGGGCACCA
rnacentral:tRNA from 1 species